rnacentral:rRNA from 1 species
AGCCAAGUCGUGAGGCAGAGCUAAUCCCUUAAAGCCAUUCUCAGUUCGGAUUGUAGGCUGAAACUCGCCUACAUGAAGCUGGAGUUACUAGUAAUCGCAGAUCAGAAUGCUGCGGUGAAUGCGUUCCCGGGUCUUGUACACACCGCCCGUCACACCACGGAAGUUGGGGGCGCCCGAAGCCACUUAGCUAAUCCAUUUGGGAAGCGAGUGUCGAAGGUGAAAUCAAUAACUGGGGUGAAGUCGUAACAAGGUAAC